rnacentral:rRNA from 1 species
UGUGGGUAUAUAUAUGCAGCAAUGGGCGGAAACGCCUGAUGCAGCAACGCCGCGUGAGCGAUGAAGGCCUUCGGGUUGUAAAGCUCUGUCUUCUGGGACGAUGAUGGCCGGACCACGAGAAGAAGGCCCCGGUUACUUCCUGGCAGCAGCCGCCGUCUAAUACAA